UACGGAGGGUGCGAGCGUUGUCCGGAAUCAUUGGGCGUAAAGCGCGCGUAGGCGGUUACUUAAGUUGGAUGUGAAAGCCCUCGGCUUAACUGAGGAAGUGCAUCCAAAACUGAGUAGCUAGAGUACGAAAGAGGGUCGCGGAAUUCCCGGUGUAGAGGUGAAAUUCGUAGAUAUCGGGAGGAACACCGGUGGCGAAGGCGGCGACCUGGGUCGAGACUGACGCUGAGACACGAAAGCGUGGGUAGCAAACAGG
rnacentral:rRNA from 1 species